rnacentral:lncRNA from 1 species
CUCUUUUUCUACUCCUCAGGUACUCGGAGAAUUAAAGCUGACUGGACUCAGUUCCUGGAAUUUUCUAGAAUGGUAGAAGUGGAAAAUUCUUCAUUUGUCAACUGUGGAUGAUGCUGGUUCCUGCCUCCAAGACUGUUGGACUAUGUGACACCAGGAGAUAGGAAGAUUGAGAGAGCUGACGGAAGCGGGGAAGAGGGUGUCUUUCGCCACCUAGUGAUCAUUUUGAGUGGUGAUACUUGUUCUCAUCUCAGCCUGGUAGCCUGACCUUGACUCCUGAGUUCUGUGAUCUCUUCA